CCUACGGGUGGCAGCAGUGAGGAAUAUUGGUCAAUGGACGAGAGUCUGAACCAGCCAAGUAGCGUGAAGGAUGACUGCCCUAUGGGUUGUAAACUUCUUUUAUAUGGGAAUAAAACGUUCCACGUGUGGGAUUUUGUAUGUACCAUAUGAAUAAGGAUCGGCUAACUCCGUGCCAGCAGCCGCGGUAAUACGGAGGAUCCGAGCGUUAUCCGGAUUUAUUGGGUUUAAAGGGAGCGUAGGUGGAGUGUUAAGUCAGUUGUGAAAGUUUGCAGCUCAACCGUAAAAUUGCAGUUGAAACUGGCAGUCUUGAGUACAGUAGAGGUGGGCGGAAUUCGUGGUGUAGCGGUGAAAUGCUUAGAUAUCACGAAGAACUCCGAUUGCGAAGGCAGUUCACUGGACUGCAACUGACACUGAGGCUCGAAAGUGUGGGUAUCAAACAGGAUUAGAUACCCUAGUAGUC
rnacentral:rRNA from 1 species